rnacentral:rRNA from 1 species
UGAGCGAGCAGAUGAGAGAGCUUGCUCCUUUGACGUUGCGGCGGACGGGUGAGUAACACGUGGGUAACCUACCUAUAAGACUGGGAUAACUUCGGGAAACCGGAGCUAAUACCGGAUAACAUUUGGAACCGCAGGUUCUAAAGUGAAAGAUGGUUUUGCUAUCACUUAUAGAUGGACCCGCGCCGUAUUAGCUAGUUGGUAAGGUAACGGCUUACCAAGGCGACGAUACGUAGCCGACCUGAGAGGGUGAUCGGCCACACUGGAACUGAGACACGGUCCAGACUCCUACGGGAGGCAGCAGUAGGGAAUCUUCCGCAAUGGGCGAAAGCCUGACGGAGCAACGCCGCGUGAGUGAUGAAGGGUUUCGGCUCGUAAAACUCUGUUAUUAGGGAAGAACAAAUGUGUAAGUAACUGUGCACGUCUUGACGGUACCUAAUCAGAAAGCCACGGCUAACUACGUGCCAGCAGCCGCGGUAAUACGUAGGUGGCAAGCGUUAUCCGGAAUUAUUGGGCGUAAAGCGCGCGUAGGCGGUUUCUUAAGUCUGAUGUGAAAGCCCACGGCUCAACCGUGGAGGGUCAUUGGAAACUGGGAAACUUGAGUACAGAAGAGGAAAGUGGAAUUCCAUGUGUAGCGGUGAAAUGCGCAGAGAUAUGGAGGAACACCAGUGGCGAACGCGACUUUCUGGUCUGUAACUGACGCUGAUGUGCGAAAGCGUGGGGAUCAAACAAGAUUAGAUACCCUGGUAGUCCACGCCGUAAACGAUGAGUGCUAAGUGUUAUGGGGUUUCCGCCCCUUAGUGCUGCAGCUAACGCAUUAACACUCCGCCUGGGGAGUACGACCGCAAGGUUG